rnacentral:sRNA from 1 species
AUUCAUUAGCGUACUCCGUACGCUCUUGUCCUGUUUAUUCUUUCUUUCAUUGGUUUAGGAGCAAGUGCCAUGCAUUAGCGUUGAUCAUUUAACUAACUCCCUGCGCAUAGCGUCGCAUAAGGCGAGACAGUCUAAGUGGACUAUUAGUACAUAAAGAGAAUGCCGAGUUUCCAAACUGCACAGGAU